rnacentral:rRNA from 1 species
GAUGAACGCUGGCGGCGUGCCUAAUACAUGCAAGUCGAGCGAACGGACGAGAAGCUUGCGUCUCUGAUGUUAGCGGCGGACGGGUGAGUAACACGUGGAUAACCUACCUAUAAGACUGGGAUAACUGCGGGAAACCGGAUCUAAUACCGGAUAAUAUUUUGAACCGCAUGGUUCAAAAGUGAAAGACGGUCUUGCUGUCACUUAUAGAUGGAUCCGCGCUGCAUUAGCUAGUUGGUAAGGUAACGGCUUACCAAGGCAACGAUGCAUAGCCGACCUGAGAGGGUGAUCGGCCACACUGGAACUGAGACACGGUCCAGACUCCUACGGGAGGCAGCAGUAGGGAAUCUUCCGCAAUGGGCGAAAGCCUGACGGAGCAACGCCGCGUGAGUGAUGAAGGUCUUCGGAUCGUAAAACUCUGUUAUUAGGGAAGAACAUAUGUGUAAGUAACUGUGCACAUCUUGACGGUACCUAAUCAGAAAGCCCCGGCUAACUACGUG